UGGCGUCUCCAGGGUAAAAAGAUCGGCCAAGCUCCCAGUUGCAUCGCAGGCUUCAGGAUUCUGUGCUUGAAUGUAUAUCAACGCUGCCCUCGCACAAGCCGCAACAACACAGAUUUCUGGGUUUUUCCGGUGCCUUCUUUUACCCAUUCCUCGGUCACACUGGUCUAAGAGAUCACCACAAGAUAAAAACUCCCGGCUCUGCGGCAGUGUCGCAGCUCUUCUACACAGCCAUUUUCAGAAUAAAGGCCGCGGAUCCUCCCGGAAAGCCGGAGCUUGCUGGGAGAGCCGCGGCAAUGAUCAUCUACAUAGCGCCGGCACUUGGAUGGGCUAUCACAAACAGCCUAAAAAUCACAAUAAGAUAGGAUAAGGACAGCCACCGGGUCCUCUUCGGUUCGUGGUCACGGAGCCGUAGUAAAGAGGUUCGCUCAGCUCCCAGCCGUGCCGCAGUCUGCAGUCUUUAGAGACGUCUGCGGCGAUCUGGCGAGCAGGCAGCUGUGACGCAGUCUACUGGGCGAGCCCGCUCAGACUUCAGUGCGCAGGUGCGGCAAUGCGGCAAUCUUUUGGGUAGGGACAUAUUCUGCGGCGCCAUCUACCGGGGUGACGGUGUCCCACCUAGGACAAGGCUACGGCAGCAAAAAUACUCAAUGUAAGGAAUGUAGCCGGGUUCACGGAAGAAGCAUGGGGAAUAUCUGGCGUUGCCGCGGGAAGCCCUGCCCACCUCUCUUCCUGCUUGGCCCCUCCUGUGGCGGAAAUGGAGGCUGCCUCACUGUUGCAGACUGUGGGAGCCAUGGACUAUUCUUUUGUAGUGGUAACCUGAAUGCCCUAAUGACGGAGGCCAGGGAUGACCAGUGUACCCUUACCGGGCUACCGAACCGAUUCUUUAACCCCGAUUCAUGUGCAAUUUGCUAACAAGGACAACGUCCAAAAUGA